GACGAACGCUGGCGGCGUGCCUAAUACAUGCAAGUAGAACGCACAGUUUAUACCGUAGCUUGCUACACCAUAAACUGUGAGUUGCGAACAGGUGAGUAACGCGUAGGUAACCUGCCUGGUAGCGGGGGAUAACUAUUGGAAACGAUAGCUAAUACCGCAUAAUAUUGAUUAUUGCAUGAUAAUUGAUUGAAAGAUGCUAUUGCAUCACUACCAGAUGGACCUGCGUUGUAUUAGCUAGUAGGUGAGGUAACGGCUCACCUAGGCGACGAUACAUAGCCGACCUGAGAGGGUGAUCGGCCACACUGGGACUGAGACACGGCCCAGACUCCUACGGGAGGCAGCAGUAGGGAAUCUUCGGCAAUGGACGAAAGUCUGACCGAGCAACGCCGCGUGAGUGAAGAAGGUUUUCGGAUCGUAAAGCUCUGUUGUAAGAGAAGAACGGGUGUGAGAGUGGAAAGUUCACACUGUGACGGUAUCUUACCAGAAAGGGACGGCUAACUACGUG
rnacentral:rRNA from 1 species